rnacentral:rRNA from 1 species
GACGAACGCUGGCGGCGUGCUUAACACAUGCAAGUCGAACGGAAAGGCCUGCUUUCCCUUGUGGAUUGCGGGUACUCGAGUGGCGAACGGGUGAGUAACACGUGAGUGAUCUGCCCCCAACUUGGGUAUAAGCCUGGGAAACUGGGUCUAAUUCCCGAUAGGACUGCAGGGUGGUGCCUGUGGUGGAAAACGAUUUUCUAGUGGUUGGGGAUGAGCUCGCGGCCUAUCAGCUUGUUGGUGGGGUAAUGGCCUACCAAGGCGGCGACGGGUAGCCGGCCUGAGAGGGUGGACGGCCACAUUGGGACUGAGAUGCGGCCCAGACUCCUACGGGAGGCAGCAGUGGGGAAUAUUGCACAAUGGGCGGAAGCCUGAUGCAGCGACGCCGCGUGGGGGAUGACGGCCUUCGGGUUGUAAACUCCUUUCGACCGCGAGGAAGCCACCUGGUUGGAAGGGUGGUGACGGUAGUGGUAGAAGAAGCACCGGCUAACUACGUG